ACGUAGGUGGCAAGCGUUGUCCGGAUUUAUUGGGCGUAAAGCGAGCGCAGGCGGUCUCUUAAGUCUGAUGUGAAAGCCCCCGGCUCAACCGGGGAGGGUCAUUGGAAACUGGGAGACUUGAGUGCAGAAGAGGACAGUGGAACUCCAUGUGUAGCGGUGAAAUGCGUAGAUAUAUGGAAGAACACCAGUGGCGAAGGCGGCUGUCUGGUCUGUAACUGACGCUGAGGCUCGAAAGCAGGGGUAGCGAACAG
rnacentral:rRNA from 1 species